GGGAGCCCGAUGUUGGACUCGAUCUCAGGACCUUGGGAUCAUGAAGUGAUCUGAAGGCAGAUGCUUAACCAACUGAGCCACCCAGGGCUCGAACUCACAGCCCUGAGACCCAGACCUGAGCCAAGAUCAAGAGUCAGAUCCUCAACUGUCUGAGCCACCCAGGUACCCUGAUAUUAUUAUUUUGAACAAAUUAUCAUUUGUUAGAUCA
rnacentral:lncRNA from 1 species